rnacentral:rRNA from 1 species
UCCCCAGACUCCUACGGGAGGCAGCAGUGGGGAAUAUUGCACAAUGGGGGGAACCCUGAUGCAGCGACGCCGCGUGGGUGAAGGAGUAUUUCGGUAUGUAAAGCCCUAUCAGCAGGGAAGAACAAUGACGGUACCUGACUAAGAAGCACCGGCUAAAUACGUGCCAGCAGCCGCGGUAAUGCGUAUGGUGCAAGCGUUAUCCGGAUUUACUGGGUGUAAAGGGAGCGCAGGCGGCGCGUUAAGCCUGGUGUGAAAGCCCGCGGCCCAACCGCGGGACUGCAUUGGGAACUGGCGCGCUGGAGUGCCGGAGGGGUAGGCGGAAUUCCUAGUGUAGCGGUGAAAUGCGUAGAUAUCAGGAGGAACACCGGCGGCGAAGGCGGCCUGCUGGACCGCGACUGACGUUGAGGCUCGAAAGCGUGGGGAGCGAACAGGAUUAGAUACCCUCGUAAGA